UAUACUGAAAUUGGAAUGAUACUGAAAUUGGAACAAUACAGAGAAGAUUAGCAUGGCCCUUGCACAGAUAUGACACGGAAAAUGAGCAAAUGAAAAUAAAAUAA